rnacentral:lncRNA from 1 species
AGUUUCAACUAAAACCCCUCUCCAAAAUUUGGCCUUGUGCCUAAAUUAGAAACGAUUAUCUUCGUCAUCUUACGCUAAUACAUGAAGCAACAACAGUGGCCAGCGGAAGUGACGUGCAGAGAAGGUGUUGUGUGUAUUAAGCUCCAGUAAGCUUACGUUCCAUCUCUAUUUAUCCUCCUUUAUAAAGAGAGAUCGAACCUCAGAAAAACAACAGAAUAUACGUAUAUAUAUAUAUACAUAUUAUAUAUGUAUGUUUAUAGUAGGAGAGAUGGAGCAACGAACUAACACAGCUGAAAUGGAUACUGAGAAAGAUAAUGUGGAUAACAGAUGUGUCUUAGAUCCACAUUAUGAUGGACUGUUGGCAAUUGAUACGGCGUGUAGCCAGCUUUACCCAGACCAGCCAUCUCCUUUGCAAGCUGCUGCCUUGCAGAAGUUUUGAUUGAUGUAUUGGUAAACAGUCAAUGGCAUUGGAGAACAUAAAGAUUGAAGUUGUAGUUGAGAAAAGUUAGCUGACAUGGAGGACUGAAAAUCAUCUAAAUAUUGGAAAAGAGUUACCUGUAUUAAUGAUUCCUGCCUAGUAUCAAAAUAUUGACAUCAUGACUGCUGUAAAGGCUUAAGAUGUAACAUGGACAGCUGCAAUGUAGACUAUGAAGCUGUGACUGACAGUAAGGGACACAGCAAGCACUCUGACUGCAUCUGUAUGCUGGAAUCCAUCCCCACAUAAUUGAACAGGGCCUUAGGCUCAAUUCAGGCAUAUUGUGAAGCUGCUGGAAACUAGUCAAUCCCUGGCUGAAGAAGGUUGCUGCUGGAAGGCAAUAUGUGUGGCAACAAGAUUUGAUUCCUUGCCAUACUUCUGUAAAGAGUCAGAAGUGGUUCUCAGAGAAUUUCUACAACUUCACCAGCCCCAAUUUCUGUCCUCCUAAUUCCCCUGACUAUAAACCAAUGGAUUACUAUGUGUGGGGCAUGGCUGAAAAAGACACCAACCACUCUGCCAAACUGGUCGUGAAGAUCAAGGAGGUGUUUGAUAAUCUUCCCUGGAAGACAGUGAGGAAUGCAUGUGCCAAGUUCCAGAGCUGUCCUGAGGCCAUGAUGAAAGCUGUGGGCAACUACUCGGAGUAAACUGUCAUCUCCCUGCCAAUAUCUAAUUGAUAUAUUUUGAUUUUUUUUUAAAUACUUUUAUUUCUGCAUGA